CAGCGAGUGGUGGAGCUGGGCCUGGCGCUGCUGCAGCCACAAGGCUGCCGGCGGAGACAGCGACAGCUCCCGGAGCAGGGCCAGGGAGCUGGGGGCACAGCACAGCAAGGGCUUUGGAGGCGUGAGAAUCCGGAACCGGCAACGCGCUUUCUCCUAUUGGCCAACUCAACGAUUCCUAUUUGCAUAUGCAAUACCAGGCAAGGCUGUCCGACGAAGUCACGUGGCCAAGAACGACUGAAGGACCCCGCGGCGAAAGGGUGCGGCCGGAGCUCCAGUGGCGCAAUCGGUUAGCGCGCGGUACUUAUAUGACAGUGCGAGCGGAGCAAUGCCGAGGUUGUGAGUUCGAUCCUCACCUGGAGCACUUUAGUUUUCUCUUAUGAGUUUUUAUAAAUUGAUGCAGAUUAUAAAUUAACCCAAACACACAUCACUUAAGAGUUUCCUCUUUCGAACAUUUCGAUCUUGGGAAUUUUCCAGCUAGAAAGACUCCUGGGACUCUGGCGACGGUCGCUUAGGGAGCGAGUGUUGUGUGUUGCGGGGAGGUUCCGUUUUUAUCCUGGCCGCCAGAGGGUGGUAUCGCCCCUUAGAUGCCUGGGCCUUCCCUUGGGUCUACAAAUCUCAGCGUAAGACUUCUCUAAAUGUGUCAGGCUGUGGAUCCUCCGCAAACUGUGCAUGGCACUGCCUCUUUCUCUGUCUUGCAUUUUCCUUCCAGUUUCAUUGAGAUGUAAUUGCCAAAUAACAUUGAAUUGAUUCAAGGUGUAGAACAUAAUGAAUUGAUACAUGUCUAAAUGGUGAAAUGAUCAUCACAAGUUUAGUUACUAAUUUUUCUUUCUUGUGUGUCUUGGAGUUUUUUAACACCCUCUUCCCCUCUCCGUUUCUGAAUCAAUUUGUUUACUGAACAUUCAUUAUGUGACCGGCUCCUGUUUACGGUUUAGGUGUGGGCGAUACAGGAGGGACCCAGAUAAAUCCGUACCCCUCAUGAUGUGACAUUCUAGCGGGGGGAGACAGAUUGCUACAGACAUAAGAACUAAGUGCAUUUUUUAUGUUAGGUGGUGAUCAAUGUCAUGGAAAAAGUAGAGCAACGACCGAAGGUAGGGAGGAUGGGGGAGUGAGAGGUGGGGUGUGGGUUGCAAUAAGAGCAGUCAGGGACCAUCUCACUGAGGAGACAUUUGAUCGGACACCAGAAGGAGAGGAGUGAGCCACAGGGCCACCUGGGGGACUCUUCCAGGCAGAGAAACAGCCAGUGCAAAAGCCCUGUGGCUGAAAAAUGUCAGAGGUAUUGGUGGAGCAGCUA